CUCCUCUCUGUCGGUUUCUCCGUCUCCCCCCUUCCCCUUUCUUUCUCCUUUUCUUCCUCCCUCCCACAAAUUCUCUUCUCUAUGCACCUUAAAGCUCACGUCUUUGCUCCAAUUAACAAAAACCAUGGAUCCGACGUCGAAGUCCCCACCACCCAUAUCCCGCUCCGGAGACCGGAACCCGGCUUCGAAUGAGAUCCAAUUCAGAGGUGUCCGGAAGAGGCCUUGGGGACGCUACGCCGCCGAGAUCAGAGAUCCCGGGAAAAAAAGCCGCAUCUGGCUCGGGACCUUUGACAGCGCUGAAGAGGCAGCACGUGCGUACGACAACGCGGCGCGUGAGCUCCGCGGAGCCAAGGCGAAGACCAACUUUCCCGCCUCCGCUGAGAACCUUCUCGAGAGGCCGAGUGGUAGCGAAGGGACCUUUAACAGCGCUGAAGAGGCGGCACGUGCUUACGACGUAGCGGCGCGUGGAUUGCGCGAUGUUAAGGCGACAGCCGACCUGAACCUCCCCGCCCCCUCUGAUCACCAGCUCGAGAGGCCGAGUGGUAGCAAAAGGAUCGUACAGGUGCAACAACAAUUAACGGAUACCAGUACCGUUACAUCCCUCGGACCUCCCUCGCCUUCCCCCUCCGCCAUCUCCACCACCACCUCCUCCUCGUCCUCCUCCUCGUCCUCAAUAGAAGAUGAGAUUUACGACGUAUUCUUGAGCUUCAGCGGUGAAGACACGCGCAAAACCUUCACGGACCACCUGUAUUGGACAUUGAAAGCCGCCAGAGUCGACGCCUUUAUCGAAGAGAAGGAAUCAACGAGAGGAGGGGAAGAAAAAGCAUCAGAGAAAGUGAAGCAAGCAAUCCAGGGGUCCAAGAUGGCUGUGAUCAUCUUCUCAAGGAGGUAUGCUGAUUCCACCCGGUGUCUUGAGGAGUUGGUGGAGAUCAUGGAGUGCAAAAGAACACUACGGCUAAUGGUUUUGCCAAUAUUCUACGACGUUGAUCCUUCAGAUGUGAAGAGCCAAUCUGGGAUUUUUGCAGAGGCAUUUGAGAAACAUGAAGAUCAUAAGGAAGAAAAACUAGGGCGGUGGAGAAAGGCUGUUUCUGAAGCUGCAGACUUAGCCGGUGAGGUUUUUACAAAGACGGACGGGUAUGAAGGAGUGUUUAUCAGGAAAGUUAUUGACGAGAUCACCGGAAAACUGAAGAUGAAGAGAACAUCCCUAGGCGGAGCCACCGGGCAAUCUGUGCAAGAAAUCAGGCUGUUCGGCGUGCCCCUGGUGAUCGAUUCCAUGGGGAAGAGCGACUGUCGUAAUGGAUGACGCCGCGCCAAGGAAAAGCACAGGAUAUUCCUGCUAGGAUUGCAGAAAGUUGGGAGAGGAUAUUGGAGAGAGGGAUCUUAAGGAACUUCGUGAAGACUCGCACACCGCAACCACAAUUGUGCCGGUGCUGCAGAUAUAGCUUCUUUGACAUCACCGCCGAUAAUGUCCAAUCGAUGAAGAGCAAGUACAUUAUCAAGAUAAUACAUCUCAGUAACAUCCGUUGCCACCUCCCCACCAUCCGUGCCUUUGCAAUCCUGCUGGAUUUUUUAUGAUGCCAAAUUUAACACAAUUUGACAGUUAGUUACGUGCAGAGUUGUUCCUCAAUACACUUUCUACAUCAUCGUGAACCCGCAAUCUACUACCUCUUUCAGGAUUGCCCAAGGAUUCUGCACUCACGAUUUCCCUGUCCAUGUUUCAAAUCAUAUCAUGCAUCAUCAGAUUGCCUUCUCUAUCAACAGUUACAAGGCAUAGCUUAUUUGAAUGGUCUUCACUUCGAUGAAGAACAAGGACCACUAUCAUCCAAUAUUUUGAGGAUGUAGUCCUUGUUAUUUCCAAUCAAGAAACAACAUAUAUCAAGGAUUAUUAUCUUAAACUUUCCACAUACAUCCCAAUGAUGCUGUAUUUUUAAUGAACAACUUCGUUUGAGAGUUCAAGAUAUCCUUCAUUUCGACAACGAUUUCCAAAGGUACUUGAAUUUGUUGAAUUAUCUCAAAGUAAUGAAAAUACAUGUCCUGCUCUUGUCGAGUACAAUUCUAUGGCUUCGAUCAAGGGGUACCGCAGCAGCUGACGGGUGCAAAAAAAAAAAUAAGGAGACUCCUGCUGAACCUCCAGAGUGCCAUCGUUGAGAGUGGGUGCACUGUAUGCUCGAUACAGUCAGUUUGAAGUACAUGGCAGCAGGUCCUCAAACCCAAUUUGCUCUUUGGGUUUUAAUCAAUGUGAAUACCAUUUUGCUGCUGCCGGGGUCUCUCAAAGAAAGUUUAAUGACUUUUUAUGCAUUCUUCAAUGGUUCUGUUGAUAUUCAUUAUCCAGCGAUCGAGAUGUCAAACAAACAAAGGAUCAGCUGUGUUUGCUGGAACAACUAUGUCAAAAACUAUCUGGCUUCAACUGAUUUUGAUGUAGUCAAGGUUCCUUGCCUUAAAUCAGUUUAGUUUUCGCGCCUGUGCGCGCAGCUGAUCCUCGAUUCAGUUGUGAGGGUUGAGAAAAAGACGGCAGAUUAUUCUGGCUGCAAUAUGGUGCAUUGACGUGAUUGAAUACCUGAAACGAAGGCAGAUGGAUGCAUUGACACGUUUGAACAACUAUAUCGGUUGUGUUUGGUAGCUGAAAAAAGUUGCUUUUUCUUAAAGCAGGGUCAUAAAAAGCAGAAAUUGAGAAGGUAGAAACAGCAUGUAGUAGGCAUUGUCUGGCAUUUGAACACAUUCUAGCAUUACGAAUUACACAUAUAAUAGCGAUAGUCUUGUAGCUCAAGUUUCUACCAUUUCAAGUCCUGUCUUCGAUUCGGUACAACGAAAUGCAUCAUUGUUAUUAUAUAUAUAUAUAUAUUUGGUUGCUUACUUUGUACAAUUCACCAGCGUACUAAUACCACUAUAAAAAUACAAUAACUAAUUAUUAGUCUA